UUCAGCAACCAGCCUGAACACAGACUCACCAUGGGGUUGGGGCUGAGCUGGGUUUUCCUUGCUGUGCUCUUACAAGGUGUCCAGUGUGAGGAGAAGCUGGUGGAGUCUGGAGGAGGCUUGGUGCAGCCUGGAGGGUCCCUAAAACUCUCGUGUGUGGCUUCCGGAUUAUCCUUCAGUGGUUACUACAUGAGCUGGGUUCGCCAGGCCCCAGGGAAGGGGCUGGAGUGGAUCGCAAGGAUAAGUAGUGGUGGUAGUAGCAAAUACACAGACUCUGUGACGGGCCGAUUCACCAUCUCCAGAGACAAUGCAAAGAACACCCUGUACCUGCAAAUGAACAGUCUGAGAACUGAGGACGCGGCCACCUAUUACUGUGCAAGAGACACAGUGAGUGAAUGCUAUUUGGUGCUCAGACACAAACCUCCAUGCGGAAUGCUCACGACCAGCAGGGGGCGGGGAACACACAAUUAG